rnacentral:rRNA from 1 species
UAGCGUAUAUUAAAGUUGUUGCGGUAAAAAAGCUCGUAGUUGGAUUUCUGUUGAGGGCGACCGGUCUAUACCACGUAUAUGCAUCGGGUAUCUCUCAGCAUCCUCUCGACGUGCGUUUCUGCGCUUGAUUGCGUGGGUCGUGUUUCGGGACUUUUACUUUGAGGAAAUUAGAGUGUUCACGGCAGGCUAUCGCCAGAAUACAUUAGCAUGGAAUAAUAAUAUAGGAUUUCGGUUCUAUUUUGUUGGUUUCUAGGACUGAAAUAAUGAUUAAUAGGGACGAUUGGGGGCAUUCGUAUCAACACGUC